rnacentral:rRNA from 1 species
UGAGGAAUAUUGCACAAUGGGCGAAAGCCUGAUGCAGCAACGCCGCGUGAGGGACGAAGGCCUUCGGGUCGUAAACCUCUUUUCUGGGGAAAGAGACAGGACGGUACCUCAGGAAUAAGUCUCGGCUAACUACGUGCCAGCAGCCGCGGUAAAACGUAGGAGGCGAGCGUUAUCCGGAUUUACUGGGCGUAAAGCGCACGCAGCCGGUUCCGUUAGUCGGACGUGAAAGCUCCUGGCUUAACUGGGAGAGGCCGUUCGAUACUGCGGGACUUGGGGUUGGAAGAGGGGUGUGGAAUUCCCGGUGUAGUGGUGGAAUGCGUAGAUAUCGGGGGGAACACCUGUGGCGAAAGCGGCACCCUGGUCCACGCCUGACGUUGAGGUGCGAAAGCGUGGGUAGC